rnacentral:rRNA from 1 species
UAGGGAAUCUUCGGCAAUGGGGGCAACCCUGACCGAGCAACGCCGCGUGAGUGAAGAAGGUUUUCGGAUCGUAAAGCUCUGUUGUAAGUCAAGAACGGGUGUGAGAGUGGAAAGUUCACACUGUGACGGUAGCUUACCAGAAAGGGACGGCUAACUACGUGCCAGCAGCCGCGGUAAUACGUAGGUCCCGAGCGUUGUCCGGAUUUAUUGGGCGUAAAGCGAGCGCAGGCGGUUUGAUAAGUCUGAAGUUAAAGGCUGUGGCUCAACCAUAGUUCGCUUUGGAAACUGUCAAACUUGAGUGCAGAAGGGGAGAGUGGAAUUCCAUGUGUAGCGGUGAAAUGCGUAGAUAUAUGGAGGAACACCGGUGGCGAAAGCGGCUCUCUGGUCUGUAGCUGACGCUGAGGCUCGAAAGCGUGGGGAGCGAACAGGAUUAGAUACCCUGGUAGUCCA